UACGUAGGGUGCGAGCGUUGUCCGGAAUUACUGGGCGUAAAGAGCUCGUAGGUGGUUUGUCGCGUUGUUCGUGAAAACCGGGGCUUAACCCUCGGCGUGCGGGCGAUACGGGCAGACUGGAGUACUGCAGGGGAGACUGGAAUUCCUGGUGUAGCGGUGGAAUGCGCAGAUAUCAGGAGGAACACCGAUGGCGAAGGCAGAUCUCUGGCCGUAACUGACGCUGAGGAGCGAAGCAUGGGAGCGAACAGG
rnacentral:rRNA from 1 species